rnacentral:rRNA from 1 species
AGAUGUUGGGGUUAUAUGGUCAAGUGACGAAGCGCAUACGGUGGAUGCCUAGGCGGUAGGAGGCGAUGAAGGACGUGGUAGCCUGCGAAAAGCCUCGGGGAGCUGGCAAACAAGCAUUGAUCCGGGGGUAUCCGAAUGGGAAAACCCACCCCUCACCUAGAAGCUUUUGGGCGUAGAGGCCUGAGAGGGGAAGCGCGAAGAGCUUCUAGGUGAGGGGUAUCGCACACUGAAUCCAUAAGUGUGCGAGGCUAACCCGGGGAACUGAAACAUCUAAGUACCCGGAGGAAAAGAAAUCAACCGAGAUUCCCUUAGUAGCGGCGAGCGAACCGGGAGCAGCCCUUAAGUCCCGUUACUUUUAGUAGAACAGUCUGGAAAGUCUGGCCACAGAAGGUGAUAGCCCUGUAUACGAAAAGAGUAGCGGGAUGAAAUCGAGUAAGGCGGGACACGUGAUAUCCUGUCUGAACAUGGGGGGACCAUCCUCCAAGGCUAAAUACUCCCUACCGACCGAUAGUGAACCAGUACCGUGAGGGAAAGGCGAAAAGAACCCCGUAGAGGGGAGUGAAAUAGAACCUGAAACCGUAUGCGUACAAGCAGUCGGAGCCCCUCACCUAGAUGGUAUUCUGCUGGAGAAUACAACACAGACAUUGAGGUGAAACAACCUUAAGUGAGCACAGUAAUGAGUGAGUGCCAUCUAGGUGAGGGGUGACGGCGUACCUUUUGUAUAAUGGGUCAGCGACUUACUUCUCAGUGGCAAGCUUAACCGAUUAGGGGAGGCGUAGCGAAAGCGAGUCUUAAAUGGGCGCCACAGUCGCUGGGAGUAGACCCGAAACCGGGCGAUCUAUCCAUGGCCAGGGUGAAGGCGCGGUAACACGCGCUGGAGGCCCGAACCGGGUAAUGUUGAAAAAUUAUCGGAUGAGCUGUGGAUCGGAGUGAAAGGCUAAUCAAGCCCGGAGAUAGCUGGUUCUCCCCGAAAGCUAUUUAGGUAGCGCCUCGUGUCUCACUCUCGGGGGUAGAGCACUGUUUCGGCUAGGGGGCCAUCCCGGCUUACCAAACCGAUGCAAACUCCGAAUACCGAGAAGUGCAAUCACGGGAGACACACGGCGGGUGCUAACGUCCGUCGUGGAAAGGGAAACAACCCAGACCGCCAGCUAAGGUCCCUAAAUCACAACUCAGUGGGAAACGAUGUGGGAAGGCCCAGACAGCCAGGAGGUUGGCUUAGAAGCAGCCAUCCUUUAAAGAAAGCGUAAUAGCUCACUGGUCAAGUCGGCCUGCGCGGAAGAUUCAACGGGGCUUAAGUUGUGUACCGAAGCUGCGGAUGCCCGAUCCUCGGAUCGGUGCAUGGUAGGGGAGCGUUCCGUAAGCCUGCGAAGGCGGAUCGAGAGGUCCGCUGGAGGUAUCGGAAGUGCGAAUGCUGACAUGAGUAACGAUAAAGGGGGUGAAAGGCCCCCUCGCCGAAAGCCCAAGGUUUCCUGCGCGACGCUAAUCGACGCAGGGUUAGUCGGCCCCUAAGGCGAGGCCGAAAGGCGUAGUCGAUGGGAAGCAGGUUAAUAUUCCUGCACCAUUCAUUACUGCGAUGGGGGGACGAAGAAGGCUAGGUCAGCCAGCUGUUGGUUGCUGGUUUAAGCGUGUAGGGAGUCACCUUAGGAAAAUCCAGGGUGGCAAUUCCAAGGCGUGACGACGAGUCUCUACGGAGACGAAGUGAUUGAUGCCAGGCUUCCAGGAAAAGCCUCUAAGCUUCAGGUAAUGAGUGACCGUACUCCAAACCGACACAGGUGGGCAGGGUGAGAAUCCCAAGGCGCUUGAGAGAACUCUGGUGAAGGAACUAGGCAAAAUAGUACCGUAACUUCGGGAGAAGGUACGCCCCCGGUACGUAAAGGCCCUCGCGGCCGGAGCGGAAAGGGGUUGCAGUGACCAGGUGGCUGCGACUGUUUACUAAAAACAUAGCACUCUGCAAACUCGAAAGAGGACGUAUAGGGUGUGACGCCUGCCCGGUGCCGGAAGGUUAAGUGAUGGGGUUACCCCU